UACGAAGGGGGCUAGCGUUGCUCGGAAUGACUGGGCGUAAAGGGCGCGUAGGCGGACGGCUUUGUCGGGCGUGAAAUUCCAGGGCUUAACCUUGGGGCUGCGUUCGAGACGGGUUGUCUAGAGUUUGGAAGAGGGUCGUGGAAUUCCCAGUGUAGAGGUGAAAUUCGUAGAUAUUGGGAAGAACACCGGUGGCGAAGGCGGCGACCUGGUCCUUGACUGACGCUGAGGCGCGAAAGCGUGGGGAGCAAACGGG
rnacentral:rRNA from 1 species